GUUUCUGCCCGGAUUACCUCUUUACAGGGAAGGGAAAAACACCAUCUUCUCUCUAGCUUCUACCUGCUUCCCCUUUUUUUCUGACUCCAGUAAAUGAGUGCCAGGCACUGGGCAGUGGCUCCUGGAAGCCUGACCUGCCAGCUUGUGCUGGGGGUAGGUGGAGGCAUUCCUCACUCUCUUGCCAAUGAAACCUUAGAGUUAGUUGUAGAAGCUUAAAAUUUCCAACAGAUAGAAUCUUUCCUUCAUUCUCUAAAUCUGCGCCGAAGUGCCAGGCUCUGGGCUGGAGGCGAUGGGGAGGAGCAGGGGUUAAAGCAAUGAGCAAGGCUGACCCCAUCCCUGCCUUUCCGAGAAUGUGAAGUAACGUGAAAAGUAAAUGUGAAAUAACAGAAACAGAAAUGGGGGAGAUAGCUUGCGAGAGGGGCAGGAGGAGAGGCCUGAGGAUAAGAGCGAGUCCAAGCAGAGGACACACAACCUGUGCAAAGGCCCCGUGGUGAAUGAACUUGGUGCAUUCCAGAAACUGUUUCUCUGUUUUUCUGCGAUAAAUGCUACAGAAUACCCUUGCCAGAGGUGAUGAUAGCUGUAAGAGGGCAGACGGAUUCUGUGAGUUUGAGACCGGAAGAUGGCAUUAGGAGCGAGCUGGACCCUGACACUCUCUGCUUGAGGCACUCAGCAUUUUGCACCAGCACUCUGAGCACCUAAGGGUGUUCAUCAUUAUUUCCACUUUGCCAGUGAGGACAGGGAGACACAGCAAGAAUCCAAAGGUCAGUUAAGCUACCCCUGAGUGGGUAACCUGCCUGGAGCCAAGCCACGGGCUCAAGUCCCAAACAGUCGUGAUCUCCUCCCCCCUCCCAGCCAGCCAAGGAGGUGAGCAGGCUCACCCCUAUUUUAAAGAUGCAGACACAGGCCCAGAGAGCUGAUGGCACUGGCCCUAAGUCAUCAGCUACUCAGCAGGCUGACGUAGAAUCUGAACCUGGGGCUGCUUGACUGCAGAGAGGUAGUGUGGAGAGAGAGAAGAGCAGGGGCUCUGCGCCCAGGAUGCCUGGGUUCAGAUCCCGACUGGAGCUGUGGGACCCUGAGGCAGUUACUUAACUUUUCUGAACCUUGGUGUCCUCAUCUGUAAAGUGAGGGUAAGGGCCCACCCCACUGGGCUACUGGGUGUGGAAGGGCCCAAAGAUGGCCACAUCCUGCCCCUGCCCCUGUGAAUGUUCAUUUAUACAGCAAAAGGGACUUUACAGACGUGCAAAGAACACAGCUGAAAAAUGGACUUGAAAAGGUAAGUAAACUGAUUGUGCCCUUGAAGCUCCUGAUCUGGGAGCCUGGCCUU